CCUUCCAACUUUAUAUUCUUCUUUACAAUUUCUCAUAUCACAUAUAAGAUUAUGCACAUUGUUUAGGAAUUCACCAUUUUAUAAAUAUUUUGAUUUAAACUAGCGUUUUUACCUAUUUCGAUGCAUAGAUUUAUGUUCAUUUCUUGUUCUUGUUCUCAAAUCCUUUCACCUAUUUCUAUUCACUUCUUUUACUUGCUUAUAGUUUUUGAUUCAAAAUCCUAAAUUGGUGAGGCUAGUUAUUUCUUAAUUUACCUCAGUGACGUAGGGUUUAAAAAUUGAUUUAUGUUGACUUGGAUUAAUAUUAUGGGUGUUAUUUGGGUAGUAUCUAUGUCUAAUACUUUAAUUUGAUCAAUCAAAGACUUUGGAAACCAUUGGGUUGAACCUGCAGUUUUCGAACUGUUGUUUCCUUCCUGUUCGGAGUGAAAAUGAUGUAAUUUGUAAAAGUUGUACUCAUAUGAAAUGAAGCUUUGAAUUUCAACGAAAUUUUGGCUUUGGUAUCAUGUCAUUUAGGAUUUUGUAGCUCAAGUUUUGAUAACUUUAGUGAGCAAAGGUCUUGUUGUAAAAGGGUUCAGCUACUCCUUAAUUGAAUAGACAUCAAAUCCCCUAGUUUGUUUGGAUUCAAUUUGAAUUGGCUGAAGGUUUUUGGACCCAAUUUCUGUUAAUGCAUAAACCAUGUGGGUAAAUUGUUACUGUCUUUUGAAUUGGACAGGAUUUGUGCUUGGCAUAGAUAAGAAAGGAGUGGAGACAGAGCAUUCUGAUACCGUAAGGGAACGUUGACAUUUCAGUGGAGUGAUUCCCCUAGGCCUCAUUGUUGCUGUUUGCUUCUGCAACAACUUGUUUUCUUUGUUUUUUGGUUCCUCGCUGGCUCUUAGGAUAUUUAGAUUAGGAGCUGUUUGUUUAGCUUAUUAACUGUCUCCUUUUCCAUUUAUCAGCUGUACCAUGGGUUGGAAUACCCCUUGUAUUCCUAUUUAUUCAAUUCAUUGGCUUAUAAAAAAAAUGUAAUUGAUGCUGCAACUGUUUGGUAAUGAUCAUGGCAUAUUGAUUAGGAAAAGAAUCAUGGCAUUCCUUCCUGCACAAAUGAGGCCUUUUACUAGGAUGGUCCUCAAUGAGGAAAUGGUUCUAGUGCUGCUGGGUAAGGCUGGACAACUAAAAAAGCAUGAAGACCUGGUGGAUAAGAUGGUUUCCAGGGGAUUUGUCUCUCACCCUUUGUAGAAGUAGCUUCAUCCUUCACAUCAAUGAGCCAAAUUGCAGAACUUCCAAGGUAAUCAGUUGAACACUCAUUCUCCAAUUGAAAGUUUAUCAACUCACAAGUCACAAGGCUCCCGUGUAUUUUGUUUAGGAAGGUAUAUAUCUUUAACAAGGGCCUCGGGUAUGGCCAUGGAAGUACAAUUAUUAGCUACUUUCAUUUUUUGGUAGAAAACUGCAUUAGUGCAAAUGCUCAAAGGAAGGCUGCCAGGGCUAUUAAAAUUUCCCGAGCUCAAUGACUUUGGUAUUCUAUGUAUGCAAGGUGAGGGAGUACUU